rnacentral:rRNA from 1 species
GACGUAGGAGGCGAGCGUUAUCCGGAUUCACUGGGCGUAAAGCGCAUGUAGGCGGAUGUCUAAGUCGUGUGUUAAAGCCCCUGGCUCAACUGGGGGAGGUCAUGCGAGACUGGAUGACUUGAGGGCAACAGAGGCACGUGGAACUCCCGGUGUAGCGGUGGAAUGCGUAGAGAUCUGGAGGAACACCGAUGGCGAAGGCAGCCUUCUGGGCCAACACUGACGCUCAUGCACGAAAGCGUGGGGAGCAAACAGG